GCUGGGUGUGGUGGCACACGCCUGUAAUCCCAGCUACGUGGGAGGCUGAGGCAGGAGAAUCACUUGAACCCGGGAGGCAGAGGCUGCAGUGAGCUGAGAUAGCACCACUGCAUUCCAGCCUGGGCAACAGAGUGAGACUCUGUCUCAA
rnacentral:SRP_RNA from 1 species